rnacentral:rRNA from 1 species
CACGGAGGGUGCAAGCGUUAUUCGGAAUCACUGGGCGUAAAGAGCGCGUAGGCGGUCUCUUAAGUCAGAUGUGAAAGCCCGGGGCUCAACCCCGGAAGUGCAUUUGAAACUAAGUGACUUGAGUAUGGGAGAGGGAAGUGGAAUUCCUGGUGUAGCGGUGAAAUGCGUAGAUAUCAGGAGGAACACCGGUGGCGAUGGCGACUUCCUGGACCAAUACUGACGCUGAGGCGCGACGGCGUGGGGAGCAAACAGG